rnacentral:rRNA from 1 species
CAGUAGCCGCGGGAAUACGUAGGUGGCAAGCGUUGUCCGGAAUUAUUGGGCGUAAAGGGCUCGCAGGCGGUUUCUUAAGUCUGAUGUGAAAGCCCCCGGCUCAACCGGGGAUGGUCAUUGGAAACUGGGAAACUUGAGUGCAGAAGAGGAGAAUGGAAUUCCACGUGUAGCGGUGAAAUGCGUAGAGAUGUGGAGGAACACCAGUGGCGAAGGCGACUCUCUGGUCUGUAACUGACGCUGAGGAGCGAAAGCGUGGGGAGCGAACAGGAUUAGAUACCCCCGUAGUCCCUGUCUCUUAUAC